rnacentral:lncRNA from 1 species
AAUUUAAGAAAUAGUGAUAAUAUCAACGUUCAGUUUAAGAAAUUGGUAGUGUUCAGUUUAAAAAAUAGUCAGUGUUCAGUUUAAGAAAUAUUGAUAAUAUCAACGUUCAGUUUAAGAAAUUGGUAGUGUUCAGUUUAAAAAAUAGUCAGUGUUCAGUUUAAGAAAUAGUGAUAGUAUUCGUGUUCAGUUUAAUAAAUAGUCAGUGUCCAAUUUAAGAAAUAGUGAUAGUAUCAAUGUUCGGUUUAAGAAAUAGUGAUAAUAUCAGCGUUUAGUUUAAGAAAUUGGUAGUGUUCAGUUUAAGAAAUAGUCAGUGUUCAGUUUAAAAAAUAGUGAUAAUAUCAGCGUUCAGUUUAAGAAAUAGUCAGUGUUCAGUUUAAGAAAUAGUCAGUGUUCAGUUUAAUAAAUAAUAAUAGUAUUAGUGUUCUGUUUAAGAAAUAGUGAUAAUAUUAGUGUUCAGUUUAAAAAAUAGUGAUAAUAUCCGUGUUCAGUUUGAGAAAUAGUGAUAGUAUCAAUGUUCAGUUUAAAAAAUAGUAAUAGUACUAUUUGUGUUCAGUUUGUCAUGCUACUUUGAACUUUAGAUUGAAACAUGACUUUUCAAAGAUGUCAUGUUUGUCCUGAAUCCAACAGAGGAUGGGAAAAAUGAGAGUAUGGAAAUCAUUUCCAAAUUUAUAAUCAUUUGUAACAGCUCGUUUGUACAAAGUAUAAGCUGUUGUAAAUAUUAUGUGGAUGGCCCACAUGAAUAGUUUGUUACUAUUUAUUCACAUUAUUUUCACUAUUCAUUUGUGGAAAAUUUGUAAGGUGAAUAGUGUCCUCUUUGAUUAUAAAAUGAAUGAGAGGAAGAGGAAGAAAGGGGUUCACGGGAAAGAAAGAGAGGAAGGAAGGAAGAGGAAGAGAGAGGAAGAGAAGAAGAGAGAGAAUAGAGGAAGAUGAGAGGAGAUAAUAGAGAGAGUUAUCUUUGUACUCCUAUUAUUUCAAAUUAUAAUGAAAGCACCGCUGCUGCCCCGAGGACGUACUCCAGUCACACUGACUGUAGAGGAACCUCGUAAAUUUUGUGUCUUGUUUCAUUUAUUCCACUGCACCCACAGUCGAUUUUACAACACGUUAUCAGCACGAGAAGCUCUCAUGUCAGUGGAAAGCACAACGCCACAAAUCCUGUUCACCUCCUUCAGCUGGAAUCUCACAGAUAAGAAACAAUUUUCAUUUCAUCUUCAAAUCUCAGUACAAUUGAUUUUCUUGAAGCAACUAUAUAUAUUGUUAUAUGACUGUAUAUCAUCCUUUGCAGAAGCAAAAGAGUAAAAGACUAAAAAAAUUUGUAAGAGAAUUUGACAGCCAUGUAAAUAGCCUCGGAACUCCAACUUGCAGACCUCGGAUUGAAAUACUUUCUUCUUGAAAGUUGUUCGUCUGCUCAGUAUCUACAACAUAUCAAAAUUUCAGAAAAUGUUAACGGUGCGAUCGUGGCAGAUGUCUGAAAUACCAAACCGGUUUCCAAUUUCCGCAGAAAACUGGGCAGCCACCUUAUGAGUACCAAAACUCCAUUUCGGUAGCUCAAAUCGAAAUUGUUUCUUCACGAAAGUUGUUUGGUAUCCUCUUAUCCAUAUCAUACUAAAUUUUGAACUAAAUCUAACGGUUUGAUCUUCUCAUAAGUUGCAGACACUCUUGACUCCAAAACUUAUGGGAACCGUUUCGACUUUUUCGAAACUCACCGGAGGAGGAACCCAAUUGGAACUUAUUGUUACUAUUAUUUACUGAGUAACCAAAAAAUGACUUCGAACUGUGAAAUAAUAAUAAAAAUAAAAGGGAUGAAACAAAAGAAGUGGCAGACCAAGAAAAUGAAAAAGCAAAACAUGAGGACUUAAUCAUUGCAUUUUCUGUUUUGGCAUAUUUAUGUGCAUGGUGUUGGUUUAAAGCCCAUGUCACAAGUUCUAUUUAUUUAAAGCAAUUUAUUUAUAGUGGGUAGAAUUAUUACCCUUUGCUUUAAAGCUUUGAUAUUUAUGUGAAUGGUGCUGAAUCAAAGCCCUUGUCACAAGCUUUAUUUACUUUAAAGCAAUUUAUUUACCAUGGACGGUUUUACCGCCUAUUGCUUUAAGUUUUGAUGGUGCUGAAUUAAAGCCCUUGUCAUAAGCUUUAUUUACUUAAAUGCUGUUUAUUCAUUAUGGCUGGAAUUACCGUCUAUUGCUUUAAUUUAUUUAUUGUACUUAUCUUUUGUUAUAAUGAGUAUAACAAGGACCCAGAGUUCCUUGAUUAGAUCAGAACCUGCAGUUUCUUGAUCCUCAUCACAUAAAAUGAUAGAACCCGAAGUUCCAUCAUACAAAAAGAUCAGGCAUGAAGUCCUUUGAUCCUGAAGAUCAGGAUAUGAAAUUCCUUGAUGAGUACCGUAAGUUUGAAGUGCCACAGUGCCUCAACUUAAUUAUAAUAAAGGUCAUAAAAAUCUCAGUCCAUAGACUAUUUAAUAAGGACCAGAAGUUCCUUAUGUCCAUACUUAAAAUGGUUUAGCAGAAGCAUUUAUUAAGCGGAUGAAAUUGAUUACCCGCGCUCUGCUCAUGAAAACGAAAUUACCAGUUUUCUACAUGGGGACAUGUCAUUUUACAUGACGCAUUAUUAAGUUCGGAUGAGACCAGUUUCCAACCAUCAAUACUACUCAGUACAACUUGUGUUUGGGCACAAGCCAAACAUUAUACAGUUAUGAGUUUUUGGUUGUGUUAUCAAUGUGCCUAUUGCACUGCCACAACAUACUAAAAUAAGGCAUCAACGCAAAACUGGAAAUUUAUGUUGGAUUUGAUUCAUCAUCUAUCAUUCAAUAUUUAGAACCCUUGACUGGGGAUAUAUUUACCGCUUGGUUUGCGGACUGUCAUUUUGAUAAGACAAUUUUCCUGACAUUAGGGGGAGAAAAUAAUAUCGUUCCAGAAGAACGAUGAGAAAAUAUCAUUCCAAAAGAAUGAUGAGAAAAGACCGUUCCAGAAGAACGAAGAGAAUUUGUCUUAUUUUGAUUCACGAAGCAAUCAAUGAGAAAAUGAAAUAUGGAUAAUUGAAUGAUACAACGAAAGUGAUGAAAUCAUAUAUACUUACUGCAAAUGUGCCUACAAGAAUUGAUGUCUCUGUUGGAUAAAAUAAUGAGACAGUAAAUGAUUUAUCUGUUGCACGCCUGAAGCGUGGCAGAUUUUUAGACUCAAAAGGUUCAGUUAUUCGAAAGAAGAAUAAUAUGGCACUACUGAACUAUUGCAUUCCCGAAGCAUAACUGUUGCAUGCCAGAAGCAUGACAGUCGCCGCAUGGAUACACGUCCCAGAUAGGACAAUCCACAGACAUGGGAAUAUUGAUGUCUCAUGCAUGUAGCAUGAUAGAUGUAUAGGUUCCAAAGACUCAACUCCCGGAAGUGGAGAAAAUCCAAGCUCUAUAACGCUCAAGAGGAGGUUAUGAUCCACAUUCUCUCAAUUAUGACUAUCCUGGAAGAGAUAGCGUCAUGCCCUUGAAGAGGCAAUGGAUAUCCAAAGAAAUGAAAAGCUUUUAUGCAUGCGCAUGCACAUGAGAAUAUGGGAUCACGGAUUGAUGAUAACCAAUGGUAAUUUUGGUUUUUUACAAGUAGCUACUAAAUUCAUCAAUGAACUGUGUUAAUAUUGAGUCACGUUCUUUUGUUCGUCGACAAAAGAAAAAUUAUUGGCCAAAAUAGAGAAAGGCAAUUCCAUUACAAUUUUGUAAGAACGUGGGCAAAUGAACCUAUAUAUAUUUGAAUACAAUACAAAUAGCCAAAAGAUGUUGAACCAAGGAGGUUAUAUAUGGGCAUUUGUAAUACAGUGUAAUACACUUACAUGAUAUGACACAAGGUUGUAAACGAGUUUCAUAUGAAUGGAGAAUUAUAUACGAAGGGUUGUGAGUCGCCCACAUUAUAUCUCCAUAAGUAAAUCCCUCAAGUAUACAUGGGAGCAAAUUGCUCUGUAUAAAUUCCAAAGGAAAAUGUGUCAUGAAGUAUAGAAAAUCCCUGAAGGAUUCAAAUUGCUUGAAGUAAGCCCCCGAAGGGUAAAGCAUAAAUUAUGCUUAUCCUGAGUACUAUCAUUAUAUAUUGUUGCAACAUACUAAAAUCUCUUGCAAGAGUCAAUGACAUUAAAUUAAACUCUUGAAGAGUUGAUGAAUUUAAAUUGGGACAUGAAGAGUAAAAAAUUAGAAAAGUGUUGAAAAUUAUUUGACUGAAGAACUACAAGAAAUCAAUGAUACAAUCUGGAAAUUAAAAUACACUUUGAAGAGAAUUGAUUUAAUUAUCAUUAUGAACUUGAAGAAGUCUAACAUUUAUAAAAUGUUGAUUAUUGUCUCGAGCUGCAGUCAAAAUCUACCAAAUAAUUUGGUCCAUAGAAUCUAUAACUUGAACAUAUUUUUGUGAUUAUAAUAAUUGAGAAGAACUUUAUUUAUUGAAAAUCUUCCAAGGGGAAGACUAAAAGAUAUAAUAUUUGAGAGAAAACACCACAAAAGGAUAAUUAUAUCAUUUAGAAUUACUCAAUCACCAUAAUGAAUGUUGAAAUAAACUUUAUUGGAAACCUGAAAUAAUCAUUUAUCUUCAGUGAGUAAGCUAAAUUACACAUGAAAAGUAACAUCAUUUGGGGAGCCUCAGUACUCUUGAAUGAAAUAGAGUGAUUUAUUGACUCCAUACAGGAAUUCCAGACAAGGGGAAAUUUCUUUCACAGAAGAUCUGUGAUCAGGAACUCGAAGUUUCGUGAACUAGUUGAACACUUGUGAGGCACAAUAUUUCAUUGCAAGCACUUGCAAUUCGAGCCCUUCUUGACUCUCUUUCGUUAUAUUGAAACUGAGGAUUCUGCAGCCAUCAAACUGAUUAUUUUUAUGCGAGUUUGAUCUCUUGUAGGCAGCCUGUAACUUGCCAUGAAAUGAUUAAAGGGCAAAGAAGUAGCGCCAAUGAAAUUGAGCACAAUCUUCUGAACACUGAACAGACCAAGAGUCUCUUGAACGGAGGACUCUUGUUAUCCCCGUUGGAAAGGAUCCCUUGGUGAUACUUCCAGAGCAGUAGCAGUUCUUCAUCACAGAAGACCCAAUUCCGUAAGAAUCCCCCAUAUUGCAUUGAUUGAAUGACUCGCCAUAUAUUAUCAAAACUGACGCUGCUGUUAUCAACCUUUUCAGAAAUGAUGAAGAUGGGUCAAGUCAAAUUCAAAAUGUGGAAGAGGUCAAGAAGUUACAGGCAGCAACUUUCUGAGCAUACUCUUGAACACAAUUGAUGUCUCUAUAAAAGAAGAGGCAACAGAGCCGCUUGUUCAAAGAUCGAAGCGACACGGCUCUCCGAAUUUCAAAAAGCCAGAUUUUCCUGAAUAAAGUUCGUUGGCAUCUUUCAGACGCAAUCCCAGCUUUUCAGAUGUCGCGUGCAAUUUUGUCAAAGAUCUCUGACAAAGUUGAAAACGCGUAAAUCUUACUGUUCUAUUUACACCACAGUUGCUGACAAGAGUAAAAGCACAGCACCACCACUUGCUAUUAAGAAAUCUCUAUAUAUGUCGACCUCUGUUCUCCAUAACAAGGCAGACCUGCAACACUGCAAGAAUACCUAACUCUUCCUCAUCUCCGAGAAUGCAUCUUCAACAUAGCAUCUCGAAAUACUUAGUUUUCUUCCUCUCCGAGAAUACCUCUUCAAACAUGUCACACCAGAGCAAGAUUAUCACAUAUCUUCAGGGACCAGAGCAAGAUUAUCUCAUAUCAUGCAAUCUCCCUGUCCUUUCCUUUGUCCAUGUUCUUGCCUGCAAAGACAAGGAUAAGAAAGCAAUAUGUCGGAACCUCCACUCAAACUCCCGGUAAGGAACCGAUUGCCUGGAACCUUUCCUGAUUGCUUACCUAGUAUUGCUCUCGAGUAGUCAUCUUCAACUGUUGUUGGAGUUGGGUCCCCAGUCACCAAGAAGUGAUAAACCAUUCAAAUGCAAGGGUUUGCAUUCCACUCCUGCAUCAGGGGACAAAUCCUACAAGAGAAGAUGCCACACAUGCAUGGGGGAAAACCAGGGAAAAUACUACUGAAGCCAGGGGAGCAAGUAAGGAAAGUGAAAAUGAUACAUUGAAGCAUGUGGAGACAAGUGCAAUGAACACGUGUUGAUGCAUCCCCAACUAAGCCGAAGAACACUUGUCACGUGAAGCUCCUCAUGGUCCAAUUUCAUUCAAGAUCAAGCCUCGAAGGUCCUUGAAGAAAUCACAAGUCCGAUUCAAGAUCAAGUGUCCACCACCCUUGAAUCAAAUUCCGCUCCAGAUAAAAGGAGUAAAUUCCGAUCUUCAAUGCUAGUCUAGCAGAAAGUCCUACAACCCAGUUCAAGAAAAAGGCUGUGGAAAGUUAACAAUAAGUAGAGCAACUCUUUCAGCAACUCUUCUUACUAAGAGACUAAAUCAGAACGAUCAACCAUCAACCUAAAUGAUUUGAAAUCAGGGGGAGAUACUCAUCAGGGGGAGCAUCCAAGACAGAUCAAGGUUUUAACGAGUCAAUCGAAGACUUGUGGCCAUCCAAGGGGGAGUGUUGUAAAUAUUAUGUGGAUGGCCCACAUGAAUAGUUUGUUACUAUUUAUUCACAUUAUUUUCACUAUUCAUUUGUGGAAAAUUUGUAAGGUGAAUAGUGUCCUCUUUGAUUAUAAAAUGAAUGAGAGGAAGAGGAAGAAAGGGGUUCACGGGAAAGAAAGAGAGGAAGGAAGGAAGAGGAAGAGAGAGAAGGAAGAGGAAGAGAGAGAAUAGAGGAAGAUGAGAGGAGAUAAUAGAGAGAGUUAUCUUUGUACUCCUAUUAUUUCAAAUUAUAAUGAAAGCACCGCUGCUGCCCCGAGGACGUACUCCAGUCACACUGACUGUAGAGGAACCUCGUAAAUUUUGUGUCUUGUUUCAUUUAUUCCACUGCACCCACAGUCGAUUUUACAAC